rnacentral:rRNA from 1 species
UACAGAGGCCUCGAGCGUUAGGCGGAAUCACUGGGCUUAAAGCGUGUGUAGGCGGACUUCUAAGUACCUUGUGAAAUCCCACGGCUCACCCGUGGAACUGCUCGGUAUACUGGUCGUCUUGAGCCUUCUAGGGGCGAGUGGAACAAAAGGUGGAGCGGUGAAAUGCGUAGAUAUCAUUUGGAACGCCAAUGGUGAAAACAACUCGCUGGGGAAGUGCUGACGCUGAGACACGAAAGCCAGGGGAGCGAACGGG